AUCUUCAGUAUUUCGGUGGUUACGCCGGUUUUUAAACCGUUAUUGCAUAUAUGUACUCUAAAGUUUGCCGGUCUCAAUAAUAAGACAUCAAACCCGAAAAUUCAAAAUAAGCCGCGGCCUAUUUUCGGGAUUUCAGGGUAUACUGUAACAAGAUUAUCUUUUUGUAAAAUCUAGUCAGCUGUCCGUUUGUUAACCCUUAUACGCAAUAUUACUGAGACCAAAAAUACUUGUAUAUCUUCAACCAGUUAGGCAAAAUAAGGAAACAGCUUCCAUUUAGAAAGUGUUGCUUUGGGUUUAUAUAUUGCAAUAGCUGGUUCUCAGCUUGCCAUCGCAUUUUCAGGGGCUCGCAUAGAAAAUGCAGGGGCUCGCAUAGAAAGCAAGGUAAAACAGACUCCGUGAGAUUCGAAAGCUUUGGUUUUUAUCCUAGUUUGUGAGCAUUGUCAAAAAUAAGUAAAUUUAUGUUCUCUUAUGAAAUAAAUUGUUUUAAUUUUGGUGAGUAUCGUCUUGUCUAACAUAACGCAUCACUGCUAAUCCGCACCUGUAUUUGUAUUUAUAGUCGUAUCAGUUCAAAUACUAGUCUAACAAGUUUUAAUCCCACGGGAUUUUCAUGGGCAAAUUUAGUGCAGUGACAAGUACAUUCUUUAUCGGAAAUCCGUAGAGGACAGAUCGUUUACAAAAAUUUAAAGAAGAUUACGACGGAAAACUGCAGCGCUACUGUUUUGAGAAUUCACAAUUGAGAUGAGUAUACAUUAUAUAUUUUCUUUAGAUAUCUGCGCUUAUAAUUUUGAUUGCUGAACUUUUUGUUUAUACGGCAUUUGAAUAUGUCCUCUGGAAAGUAAUGGAGACACGUGUUCAUCGUACAAUCAGCAAGAUAUUGGCUAUUUGGUUUUAUUCAAUCACUGACUGAAUCAGUCUGAAGUGAAUUUUAGUUAUAAAAAAAAAAUAAAUAAAUAAAUAAAAAUAAAAAAUAAAAAAAAUAAAAUUAACAGACAUAGUGAGCUGACAAACACUCACAGGUAAAACAUGGGUGUGGUCGAGCGUUCUUUUUGUUUGCAUGUACAUACGCAAAAAUGCAGUACGUUAGUUCCUGUACAUUAUUCUCGGUCAUUUUUAUUUAUGGACUUUAAUCAUAUGUACAAUAUGCAUGUACUGGUUUCACCCGAGGUGUAGUGAGGUUUAUGCAUUUCUAACGUACAUUGUUGCGGAAAUAUUUUGUAACAUGAUUUAGUAUCGCUAGGAUUAAUCAAAGAAUUUUGCUUUGUAGCCUAAUAUAAUUAAAAAAAAAAUCACAAACUUUUAAGUCAUUAAAUCAAACAGAAAUAUACAUUUGGUUGUUUCUUACCAAUUGUCAAAAUUAUACGUUAAAUAUCUUGCUUCAAAUGAUAAAAAACAUGCUGCAUAGUCUAGUUACAGCUUAACAGAUCCGAUGAGAAAGGAGCGACAUACAAUUAAUUGGUUCCAUGCCGUUUUCAACAGUAUUUCAGUCAGAUGGUUAAAGUGUUCGUAGAGACUGCACAUGGGAAAAUUGGUAUGUAAUAAGGUAAUGUAAGCUUACGCUUUUUACGUGUCCAGGAACGAAAUUGGCUAUAUUAACUUGAUUAGCUAUACUGACAAGAGAGCGUUCCAGUUGGGUUCGUACCAUGGAAUGAAACAUUAACAGCUGACAAGAAAGAUACGUGUAUAUUGGAUGUUUUCAUAAUGUAACAUAUUGGUUAGCUGCUGUUUGUUAGAUAUCGAAAGAAAUGUAAGAUAUAUUUUCAUUUUAUACAUCACUAGGGUAACCUAGAUCUCAACUGUUGUAAUGUAUAACAGUAAAUGGUAAGUGAUGCUUAUGAAAAUUAAUAACAUACUGUCACAAUUCUAAGUCGUAGAAAUAUUUCUUAAAGCACGAAAGCGUCAUGUUUAAAUCAAAUAAUUCACGGAUUUAUAGAUAUAUUAUUAAUUCAUUGUAAUGAAAUUACAAAGCUCUUUCAGAACUGUUAAACAAUAUAAUCCGGACAUGUUCGAAGUAAGGUAAGAUGUGCUUUUCAUACUUAAGUCUGGUUACUGUUUCUGAGAGUAUUUUACAUAAGAAUAAAAUCCAGCAAAACAACGAAACUUAUGGAGAACGGUGCUAUAGAAAUAAAAACACAAACAUUCUGAGCUAAAUGGAAUAAGCCACACUAUACUUGGGAGUGCCACGAGUGAUUUCCCAUGAACCAAGUUAAUCGAACCGAAUCUGCUAAUACUUUGCAUGGUUCCGUUCUGCAAAAGAUUAUCAUAUACAAGGACUAAUAUAAAUUAAUACAGAUUAUUGUUAUAUUUUGAACAAUAUUCAGCUUUAAAUGUAUUUCUUAAUGACUAAAAUAUGGAUUUGGGUUAUCAAUUUUGUUACACGCUAAUGAAAUGCAUACACAUUAAUUUUAGACGCAGUUCUAGCCUAUACGAUUUGAUGCGGAUUAUCCAUUACGUCAACAACUGUAACACCAGCAUUAACACGGUCAAUCUCUGGUAUAAGGGACUGCAGAAAACUAAUGUCGUCAACCGGCUAUUCUCCUAAUGUCUUUAAACAGUUUAGCUAUAGGAGCGGCGUGGCAUGGUCGGGAUCGGCAGCUAUUGGGGCACCUUGUGUUGAAAGGGUCACAAUGGUGAAUCAUACUGCUGAACCCUGCCACAAAAUGUACUGCUGCACCAAACAUGUCACGCCGCUUCUGUAAUCUAUGGUAUAUUAGAGAAUAAACUCUACAGUGUGUGUGUAUAAACUCAAUUUUGCUAGUACGCUUCUGUUGGUACAUUUAAUCAUCAUGGAACAAUACGGUUGAAUGAAACCGGCUUGAUUUUUAACUGCAUGUAUUCAUUUAUAAACAUUCCGAAUGUUACUAUCUUUUUCUUUUGGUACUUUGUUUGUUGUUUUUUGUUAAAUUUGGUUUGAAUUUAAGCACGAAGAUAACAUGAAUUAGUGCGGGUUUAUUACACAAAGCGAUAGCAUGCAGGUUCGCCAAAUUCUGGCAUUGUAUUUGCAGAAAGAUGGUCUUAAUGUCAUUUAUUCUGUAAAAAAACAAACAAACAUAAUUGAAAUAUUUUUGUAGGACAUCGUUUUGUACAUCGAUUUAUAAUUCGAUGACAGCUCAUGAACAUUACCCAGUUUUUCGUGUUGUUUUUGUUCUGUUUGGUACAUUUAUUUUAUCUGCUAGAAACAUUGAUGAUAGUAAAUACUCGGAAAGCAGGGGGUGGAGAGAGCCUUUUCGCUGGUCAGAGCCUCGGAUUCUCCCUACCUCCCCCCUCUUAUAUAAAAAUAUCAUAAAAAAUAGAAAAGAGUUAGGGUUGGGGCAGCCGGCUCGCAGCAUACGAUUAACCUGUCUUUCUGGGUAGUUUUUAGAUGAAAUUAAAACAAAAAAUAAUAAUUAUAAUAAUAAUAAUGCGUAAAGAUUAAGAUAACAUGACAAGUAUUUGUCAUAUUACAUAUGAAUUGUCCAUUCUGUAUUC